UACGUAGGGUGCGAGCGUUGUCCGGAAUUAUUGGGCGUAAAGGGCUCGUAGGCGGUUUGUCGCGUCGGGAGUGAAAAUCCAGGGCUUAACUCUGGACUGGCUUCCGAUACGGGCAGACUAGAGGUAUGCAGGGGAGAACGGAAUUCCUGGUGUAGCGGUGAAAUGCGCAGAUAUCAGGAGGAACACCAAUGGCGAAGGCAGCUCACUGGGACGGUAUUGACGCUGAGACGCGAAAGCGUGGGGAGCAAACAGG
rnacentral:rRNA from 1 species